UACGAAGGGUGCAAGCGUUACUCGGAAUUACUGGGCGUAAAGCGUGCGUAGGUGGUUUGUUAAGUCUGAUGUGAAAGCCCUGGGCUCAACCUGGGAAUUGCAUUGGAUACUGGCAGGCUAGAGUGCGGUAGAGGAUGGCGGAAUUCCCGGUGUAGCAGUGAAAUGCGUAGAGAUCGGGAGGAACAUCUGUGGCGAAAGCGGCGCACUGGACCACAACUGACGCUGAGGCGCGAAAGCUAGGGGAGCAAACAGG
rnacentral:rRNA from 1 species